CUCUUUGAAUCCGCUGCAGCCCUCAAAUCCCCAAUUUUUCUCGUUCCGGCUAGAAGUAGCAGCCGGCAAGGACCAGGCAGCGCCGCCUCUCCCCUCUUCUCCUCCCCUCCCCGUCGCCUUUUUCUCUCAUCUCUCCCUCCAUUUCUCCUCUUUCUCUCCCCUCGCUUUCUCCUCUCCAGCGAGAAACAACAACUAACAGCAGCAGCAUCCAGGCUAGGGCCACCGGCGAAGCCACCGCAAGGACCAGCGAUAAACACCUGCAGCUCCGGCUAGCGAUCCCGGGCAGGACGCCGAAACAGCAGCUCCAGCGAAGCCUCAAAAGCAGCAGCUCCGGCGAAGCAGUGGCGACGGCAAGCAACACCACAAAUAGAGUUUGCUCGGGCGAAGCUAUGGAGUUUUGGGUCCAUUGGAAAUGGAUUUUUUCAGAUCCGUCCGGUUUUGGCCAUUUACAGCUGCAUUUUUGCCAUGAUCUGCUAUUGGAACCACUUCCUUCCUGCUGCAUUUUGAGGUUGUUUCUUGCUUCAUUUUGAGAAAAACUACUGCAUCUUUGGACAAUUAGUUCCUGCAAUUCAAGCAGAUUUGAGGCUAAGUGCCUGAUUGUAUUUUUUUUGACAAAACAGAUGCUACAUUUUGUAUGAUGUUACACUUAUUUGAAUGAUACUACAAAGGCUGUUGAAAUAAAGUUGAGGGAAAACCCCUUCAAAAUAGUUAUCUUUGGUUUGGUUCUUUCA